GUGCCAGCAGCCGCGGUAAUACGGAGGAUGCGAGCGUUAUCCGGAUUUAUUGGGUUUAAAGGGUGCGUAGGUGGUGAUUUAAGUCAGCGGUGAAAGUUUGUGGCUCAACCAUAAAAUUGCCGUUGAAACUGGGUUACUUGAGUGUGUUUGAGGUAGGCGGAAUGCGUGGUGUAGCGGUGAAAUGCAUAGAUAUCACGCAGAACUCCGAUUGCGAAGGCAGCUUACUAAACCAUAACUGACACUGAAGCACGAAAGCGUGGGGAUCAAACAGGAUUAGAAACCCGAGUAGUCC
rnacentral:rRNA from 1 species